UGGAUAUUUUGACAGCUGUAGUAUGGAUAAUACCAAGUCUGACAUGGUUGUUGUCGGUGACAUUACAUGUUCAGAAAUGAGAUGUGCUACAAGCUGUGGAAUGUCAAAGACUUGUAAUGGGUUAUAAUUUCAACAGCGCCAUGAACAGGUUUGUGUUGUCAAAAACACUUACACAUUUAUUUGUUUAGUUUGGGUUACAUAUUAUGUUUUUAAAUGACAUUUUAUUUGUUUGUUUGGUUACACAUAUUAUGUUUUUAAUGACAUUUAUUUGUUUGGUUUGGUUACACAUUAUUGACACAUAUUAUGUUUUUAAAUGACAUUUAUUUGUUUAGUUUGGUUACACAUAUUAUGUUUUAAAUGACAUUUAUUUGUUUAGUUUGGUUACACAUAUUAUGUUUUAAAUGACAUUUAUUUGUUUAGUUUGGUUACACAUAUUAUGUUUUAAAUGACAUUUAUUUGUUUAGUUUGGUUACACAUAUUAUGUUUUAUUAUGUUUUAUGACAUUUAGUUUUUUAAUUUUUUGUUUAGUUUGGUAACAAAUAUUAUGUUUUAAGCCAUUUAUUAAGUUUGGUUACAAAUAGAUCCGGAAUUUGGAAUGUAUGAAAAAUUACUAAUGUCAUACUAGUCGUUUGCUAUACGUUUGUAAAACCUUGACUUACGAUAUUUGAAGUAAGAAAACCGUUCUUUUGGUCUUUAAUAUAGAAAACAAAAGGCACACUUAAAAGAAGACAAGAAAAAAUAAAUGUUUAUUCGAUGACACAUUUAUAAAGGAUAUUAAAUAGUGUCACAGUGGUACAAAAGGUGACAAUUAGAGAUGAUUAUGAUAAGGAAAUGCAUACAGUAAGGUAUCUUGUAAGAUGUUGUGUAAUCAAUAAUUUAUAAAUGUUUUACUAUAUAAGUCGGACGAGCAUUUGUUAAUGAAACAAAUAAGCUAAAAAUAUAUAUUCCUAGGGCAUGGAGCCCCUCUCUAGAUAUUUGAUUUUUAAAAUAUGCAAGAAAAGGCUGACUCGGACUUUUACUUAUAUUUGUAUUGGUACUAUUUUGGGUCUCAAAUCAAAAGAAAAAAAAAUCUUAAAUCUAAUAUCAGCUUUAAUUUUGGUUAAUGAACUUAGAUGAGCUAUUAAGUCUUAUAUGAAACGAUAAAUGGGUGUUAUGGGGAAAUAUUGUAUUGUAUGGAAAAAAUACCAAGGAGUCCAAAGUACAUAUAUACAGUAAAUUUGUUACUGAAAAUAUUGUUAACGAGGCUCAUUUUAGUUUUUUGUGCAUUGAAAACACCUCAUUUUGUGUUGAAUAAGGUGACUACAUUCGUAUAGUUUUGAUUUUUUGUUUGCAUGAUUGUUUGUUUUUAACUUGAUUAAGAUUUUAACACAAUGUUGACCUCUAAAUAAAAAAAUAAGCUACAAAUAUUGAUAAGGCAUGGAGCUCCUUUUCAAGACAUUUUAUUGUUAAAAUAUGACAGGAAAAAAGUUGACUCGGAGUUUUACCUUAUAUUUGUUUUUGGUAAUAUUUUGGUCUCAAAUCAAAAGAAAAGAAAUUUAGAAUCAGCGUUAAUUUUGGUUAAUGAACUCAUAUGAGCUAUUAAUUCUUAUAUGAACGGAUAAAUGGGUGUUAUUUGGCAAAAUAUUUCACCUUGUAUUUAUUGUUGGAAAAAAAAGGAGACCAAAAAUGUGACACAAAUUCCCAAGUACAUAUAUGCAGUAAAUUUGUUACUGAAAAUAUUGUUUACAAAGCUCAUAACAAGUUUUCUGUGUAUUCAAAGCACCCUAUUUAGGUAUUCGUUAAGGCGACUGCAUGCGUAUAAUUUUAUUUUCUUUGGUGGCAUAAUUAUUUGUUUUAUGGUGAUUUAAGAUUAUAUCACAUGUUGACCUCUAAAUAGUUUUUUUGACAUUAAUACCUUUUAUGUCUGUGCUCACACAUUGUUGUUAAAAUAAUUGAAUUAUAUGCGACUAUCAUACAAGUGAGAGUUUUACAACUUUAAAACCAGAUAUUUAAUCUACUAUGUGAUACAUAUGUUACUACCUAAGUCAGGAAUAUCAUAGUUGUUUUCCAUUCGUAUGAAGUGUUUGAGUUUUUAAUUUACCAUUUGAUAAAGACUUCCCGUUUUGAAUCUUUCUUGCUUUUAGUUUACUUGUUAUCAAAAUCAAAGUAUAAAAGCAGUCAUUUUAUACAUUUUAGAUGUGAACUACUCUGGUUUGGAUCAGACGUUGUGACAGACAUACCACAUCACAUUGAAGCCGGAUGGAGAUUCUACAGUAAAUGUUUCAAUGGGAAAAUUGCCUGUCUUGGGUGUUUUUUUUAAAUGACUUAUUGAAAGAAAACGGUCCUUGAUAAGGAUAUCAUUUGAUUUUUUUUUUUAAAUUCUUUGCAUAAACUUAGUGAAUUAUUAUUUGGAAUUUAAAGACAGUUGUAAAUUAGCGAUGAUCGAAUAUAGUGAAUCUUUUUAGAAAAAAAAACAACAACAAAAUUAAUUUUACAUGCAACUUCACAAAUCGAGAUCGAGUGGUUAGAUAGGGUAAGCGGCUCCAGGUACUUAUUUUCCUUAAAUCCUUGCUGCAAAAGAUUUUGCGUGAAGGGCAUAACCCUUUCAGUGAAACCAACAUAAUGUAAAUAUGUAUGCUCAUAUAUCGAUUUACAAUUGAGAUACGUCAAUAUCACACGGUGGAGUGUUUCUGCUAAGGAAUGAGAGUUAACAGUGGGUAAGGUGAAAUUAUAACAAUGUCAAAGCUCUAUUUUGAAGUAUUACUUCUGUGUCAAUAUUAAGAAAAAAGAUCCAAACAUUCUUAUAUAAGUAGUAAUAUUAGUUUUAACUUCACUUAGAUCUAUGAGAUCCUAUAACAAAAUGUAUUGUCGGUAAUUGAGUGACAGGAUAUAAUCAAUAUAUCGGUAAGUGAUAUGUAAAAAAAGUUGAACAUUGUUCUUUUGCUAUAUAUUAAAGACUCCUCUUGAACUGAGUUUUACUGUGCGUAUUGUUGUGCGUUUGUUUUUUCUAUAUUGGCUAGAUGUAUAGGGGAGGGUUGAGAUCUCAAAAACAUGUUUAACCCCGCCUCAAUUUUGCGCCUGUCCCAAAUCAGGAGCUUCUGACCUUGUAUGAUUUUUAAUUUUAGGUUUUUGUGUAUAAUUCGGAGUUUAGUAUGACGUCCAUUAUCACUGAACUAGUAUACAUAUUUGUUUAGGAGCCAGCUGAAGGACCCCUCCGGGUGCGGGAGUUUCUAUUUACAUUGUAUAUCCAUUGGAUGCCUUCGGCUGUUGUCUGUUCUAUGGUAGGGUUGUUGUCACUUUAACACAUUCCCCAUUUCCAUUCUCAAUUUUAAGUUUUAGUACAAAACAUAUCAAAACAAGAAUAUUUAAAGAAUUUUUUCAAAUUCAAUGUGAAUUAAAAGCAUUAAAAAAAUGCUCAUUUCAAAAUUUAUCAUUUUACUGCAAUUCAUUUUGUUUAAAAAUGGUUUACAGCAGACAUUUGUAAGGCGAUAACGAUUUAACUUGUUACGUUUGAUGACAAUAAUAUUGCAGAAGUUGAAUCUUAAUUAAUUGAGGGUCCCCUUAAAAUCGUAAUUUUUCUCUCAAAAUAUGUC
rnacentral:lncRNA from 1 species